GCCAAUGUGGUGGAAUUGGUAGACACGACGGACUCAAAAUCCGUUGCUAGCAAUAGUGUGAGGGUUCGAGUCCCUCCAUUGGUA
rnacentral:tRNA from 2 species